rnacentral:rRNA from 1 species
GGAUGUGAUCAUACCAGCACUAAAGCACCGGAUCCCAUCAGAACUCCGAAGUUAAGCGUGCUUGGGCGAGAGUAGUACUAGGAUGGGUGACCUCCCGGGAAGUCCUCGUGUUGCAUUCC